rfam:Ovis aries breed Texel chromosome 8, whole genome shotgun sequence.
UCUUGGCAGCUCAGAUGGUAAAGCGUCUGUCUACAAUGCAGGAGACCUGGGUUCAAUCCCUGGGUCAGGAA